UAUGUUCCUUUUGUGCCAGCCGCCGCGGUAAUACGGAGGAUCCGAGCGUUAUCCGGAUUUAUUGGGUUUAAAGGGAGCGUAGAUGGGUUGUUAAGUCAGUUGUGAAAGUUUGCGGCUCAACCGUAAAAUUGCAAUUGAUACUGGCAGUCUUGAGUACAGUUGAGGUAGGCGGAAUUCGUGGUGUAGCGGUGAAAUGCUUAGAUAUCACGAAGAACUCCGAUUGCGAAGGCAGCUUACUAACCUGUAACUGACAUUGAUGCUCGAAAGUGUGGGUAUCAAACAGG
rnacentral:rRNA from 1 species